AAUUUGAAAUCGGUGUCCUUCUCGGGCAUCGAGUUGUAAUUUGGAGGGAUAACUUCGGUACGGACUACAUCGUAAGUUCCUUGGAACAGGACGUCAUAGAGGGUGAGAAUCCCGUGUCUUGGUGUUUGGCCGUGCCAUGUGAAGUGUCUCCGACGAGUCGAGUUGUUUGGGAAUGCAGCUCAAAAUGGGUGGUAAAUUUCAUCUAAAGCUAAAUAUUGGCGAGAGACCGAUAGCGCACAAGUAGAGUGAUCGAAAGAUGAAAAGCACUUUGAAAAGAGAGUUAAAAAGUACGUGAAAUUGUUGAAAGGGAAGCGCUUGCGACCAGACUCGAUCUUUGGUGAUCAGCCGGGCUUCGGUCCGGUGCCCUCACCAUUGAUUGGGCCAGCAUCGGUUCUGACGGCGGGACAAAAGGAGGAGGAAUGUGGCUCCCCUCGGGGAGUGUUAUAGCCUUCUUCACAAUGCCGCCAGUUGGGACCGAGGACCGCGCUUCGGCUAGGAUGCUGGCGUAAUGGUCUUAAGCGACCCGUCUUGAAACACGGACCAAGGAGUCUAACAUCUAUGCGAGUGUUCGGGUGGAAAACCCUUGCGCGUAAUGAAAGUGAACGGAGGUGUGAACCCUUUACCGGGUGCAACAUCGACCGGUCCUGAUGUCUUCGGAAGGAUCUGAGUAAGAGCAUAGCUGUUGGGACCCGAAAGAUGGUGAACUAUGCCUGAAUAGGGUGAAGCCAGAGGAAACUCUGGUGGAGGCUCGCAGCGGUUCUGACGUGCAAA
rnacentral:rRNA from 1 species